GUAACAACUCAAAUUUUUCAAACAAAUUUUUCAUUUUUAAAACAUAAUUAAUUCCAUUUAAAACAAGGCAUAAAUAGUUCAAGUAUUCUGUCAAAUACAUAUAUUCAAAAUCCCAAGAUCAUAAAGACAAUCUUCAGUGUGUAUCGAUCAUGCCGGCGCCUUCCCACGGUCCUCGCUGGUACCUGAAAUACAUGCACAACAACUGUAAGCAUAAAUGCUUAGUGAGUUCCCCAAUAUACAACUUACGCACAUACGCCUUUCCAGGCCCGACCUUCCGGUCCAUGUGUCUCAGGGGANUGAGUCCCCCAAUAUACAACUUACGCACAUCCGCCUUUCCAGGCCCGACCUUCCGGUCCAUGUGUCUCAGGGGACUUCCGUCCCUGCUGGGUAAACCUUCCGGCCUUACCCACGCCGACCUUCCGGUCCAUCACACAUCAUAUUGCCUUCCGGCCCAUAACAUAUUGCCUUCCGGCCCAUAAUAUAAUCGCCUUCCGGCCCAUAACAUACAUAGCACAUAUAACAAAUAACUUACCACAUAUAGCAUACAUAUCACAUAUCAUAUCUGACCUUCCGGUCACACAGUCAAACCCUUCCGGGUACAGUAUAGUGAGAAGACUCACCUCGUGAAUGCUGAAAGCUAGCAAAUCCUGAAAUCACUCGUGCACAAUCCGACGAGCUACAACCUCCCUAUAACAUCACAUAUCUCUCAUUAACACUUAUAUCUUCUAAGUGUGACUAUCCCUAAGAAGUCAGACUUAGGUCAACUCUGGUCAACGGUCAACGGUCAACGGUCAACUCGACCGGACUCGGCGAGUACCAUGGCGACUCGGCGAGUCUAGACGUCCUCCAACUCUCUGAGAUUCCCUAUCUACUCGUCGAGUAUCCUCCUUGACCCGACGAGUUACUCCUGGAAGAAUCGCGGGGCCACCCCGACUCAACUCGCCGAGUCUGAAGAACAACUCGACGAGUCCCAGUUAAUCUUCAAGCUACUCGCCGAGUCUGUUCAUCGAACUCGGCGAGUCCAUGCCAUGCAACCGCUCAAACUGCAUCCUAAGGUCAGAACUGCUUCGACCAUUCCUAGGUCUGGCCUUCCUAGGCUGAUCCAUCACGUAAAGUCCUCAUUUCAGUGCUCAUGAUACACCAUAUGAUUCAUAAUUUACAUUUUGACCUAAGGCAUAAGGAUUCCAAUCCAAAACCUUCAUCAAUUCCCGAAAUGCACAGACAUGGGACAUUCUGGACCUCCAAAGGUCCCAAUACAGGGUUACAAUCGAUUAGGGGACUAGGGUAACAUUCAAUCUAUUCACAAAAGGGUUCCAUAAACCCUAAUUCCAUAAUCACAUCAACAUAGCAGAGUAUACUCGAAUUCUUACCUGGAUGAUGUAUCCUCUGUGUCCCCAAUCCUCAGAAUGUGACUCCCUUGCUGCUCCUUUAGCCAAUCCCUUCUCUUCCUUGCACAACCACUCUUCUAUAAUCAACAAUGGCCUAUAAUCCUUGCUCCAGAUGCACACAAUCGAUUUAGGGUUCUUCUCAGAAGGCUAAAAUGAACAAUGACGGCCAAUAAGUCCCUUUUAUACGUCCCAAACCUGAACGGUUAGGGUUUUCGCUAAACAGCGUAGACUCGCCGAGUCCAUAUCUGGACUCGUCGAGUCCAGUCGCGAACCCGCGACCAAGUCUGCGAUCCUACUCGGCGAGUCUAGGCUCCAACUCGCCGAGUCCCCUCUUAACUCACCCCAAAAACAUAAUUUAACAAUACCUGAGAUUUCGGGCUGUUACAACUCUCCCCCACUUGGAUUAGACUUCGCCCUCGAAGUCUCACUCUGCAAAUAGUUCCGGAUGCUGCUCCCGCAUCUCACGUUCCGGUUCCCAAGUCAUUUCCGAUCCCUUACGGUGUUGCCAUUGAACCAACACCAGAGGUACCUCCUUGUUCCUCAGAACCUUGAUCUUCCGAUCCCUGAUAGCCACUGGUCUCUCCGCGUAAUUCAGGCUCGCAUCCACCUGAAUAUCCUCCAAUGGAACCACUGCCGACUCAUCGGCUAUGCACUUCCUCAACUGCGACACAUGAAAAGUGUCAUGGAUCUGACCCAACUCCGCUGGCAACUCCAACCGAUAGGCUACCCGGCCUAUCCUUGCAAUCACACGAAAUGGCCCAAUAUACCGGGGCCCCAACUUGCCCCUCUUCCUGAAUCGAAUCACUCCUUUCCAAGGAGAGACCUUCAGGAGAACGAAGUCGCCGACCUGAAAUUCAAGCUCGGAUCGGCGCCUGUCUGCAUAACUCUUCUGUCGGCUCUGGGCAGUCAAUAACCUUUGUCUCACUCGCUGAAUCUGCUCUGUCGUCUGGAGCACGAUCUCCGUGCUGCCCAUCACUCUCUGUCCCACCUCUCCCCAGCAAAUGGGGGUCCGACACCUCCUACCAUACAACAGCUCGAAAGGUGGCAUACCAAUGCUCGAAUGAUGGCUGUUGUUGUAGGAAAACUCUGCCAAGGGUAAAUACGCAUCCCAACUACCCCCGAAGUCUAACACACACGCUCGGAGCAUGUCCUCCAGCGUCUGAAUCGUCCGCUCGCUCUGACCGUCUGUCUGGGGAUGGUAUGCGGUACUAAAAUGCAAUUUAGUACCCAGCUCCUCAUGGAAUUUCUUCCAGAACCUGGAAGUGAAGCGCACAUCGCGGUCUGACACAAUCGAGAUCGGCACCCCGUGCCGAGAUACCACCUCUUUCACGUAUAUCUCCGCCAACUUUUCCGCUGAAGAACUCUCACUGAUGGCAAGGAAGUGUGCACUCUUCGUCAACCUAUCCACAAUCACCCAAAUUGCGUCAACUCCCCUAGCAGUCCUCGGCAAUUUGGUGAUAAAAUCCAUAGUGAUCUGUUCCCACUUCCACUCGGGGAUCUCCAAUGGCUGUAACUUGCCAUGCGGUCUCUGGUGCUCAGCCUUAACCCUACGGCAGGUCAAGCACCUCUCAACGAACCAUGCCACGUCCCUCUUCAUACAGGGCCACCAAUAUUCCUUCCUUAAAUCCAAAUACAUCUUUGUAGCACCGGGAUGGAUCGAGAAUUUCGAUCUAUGAGCCUCUUCCAUCAACGUAAUACGCGUACCGCCCACGAACGGUACCCAAAUCCGACCCUGAAACGUCAUAAGGCCUCGACUAUCCUUGACAAACUCUGAGAUUAACCCCACAACCCGCUCUUUCUUCUGCAUUUCUGGUCGCACAGCCUCUGCCUGGGCCCCACGAAUAGCGUCCAAUACUGGAGUCAUCACAGUCAGUCUCAAGCAUACAUCUCGCAAUGGAGUGCUCUCCGCCCUGCGGCUCAAUGCAUCGGCUACCACAUUAGCCUUGCCUGGGUGGUACAGGAUCUCACAAUCAUAAUCCUUGACCACAUCCAACCACCUCCUCUGACGCAUAUUUAGGUUGGGUUGAUCCAUCAAAUACUUCAAACUCUUAUGGUCCGUGUAUAUCGUACAUCGAACCCCAUACAAGUAGUGACGCCAAAUCUUGAGAGCGAACACUACUGCCCCCAACUCUAAAUCAUGCGUGGGAUAUCUCGCCUCAUGAGGCUUCAGCUGCCUCGACGCAUAAGCUAUCACAUGACCCCUCUGCAUCAACACUGCACCCAAUCCCGAAAUCGAUGCGUCGCAAUAUACCACGAAAUCUUCCAUCCCUUCUGGGAGAGCUAAUACCGGGGCUUCGCACAAUCUCUGGCGAAGUGUCUCAAAGGAGGUCUGCUGCUCGGGCCCCCAUGAGAAUGUAACACCCUUCCGGGUCAAUCUGGUGAGUGGCACUGCGAUCUUGGAGAAAUCCUUGAUAAAUCUCCGAUAAUACCCUGCCAACCCAAGGAAACUUCUGAUCUCAGAGGGUGACUUCGGCACCUCCCAACUCAUCACCGCCUCAACCUUGGCCGGAUCGACCAAUAUCCCUUUCUGAUUAACCACAUGUCCUAGAAACUGGACCUCCCGCAACCAGAAGUCACAUUUGGAGAACUUUGCAUAAAGCUUCUCCGACCUCAAUACCUCAAGGACCUCCCUCAAAUGCUCCUCAUGCUGCUCUCUAGAUCUCGAAUACACCAGAAUGUCGUCGAUAAAUACAAUCACCGACCGAUCCAACAUCGGCCUGCAUACCCUGUUCAUGAGAUCCAUGAACACAGCCGGGGCAUUGGUGAGUCCAAAAGGCAUCACCACAAACUCAUAAUGCCCAUAUCGCGUCCUAAACGCUGUCUUCUGGACGUCCUCUUCCCGUACUCUCACCUGAUGGUAUCCUGACCUCAGAUCGAUCUUGGAAAACCAAGAUGCUCCCUGCAACUGAUCGAAUAAAUCAUCGAUCCUCGGCAACGGGUAACGGUUCUUGACCGUUAGCUUGUUCAACUCCCGGUAAUCAAUGCACAUCCGGUGUGAACCAUCCUUCUUCUUGACGAACAGAAUAGGUGCUCCCCAUGGCGAGCUGCUCGGCCGAAUGAAUCCCUUCCCCAGCAACUCCUGGAGUUGCGAGGACAACUCUUGCAUCUCUGGAGGUGCAAGACGAUAGGGCACUUUAGCAAUAGGCGCGGCCCCCGGAACCAGAUCGAUACCAAACUCUACUUGCCUCACAGGAGGUACUCCCGGCAGUUCCUCGGGAAAAACAUCUGAAAACUCACGCACCACAGGGACCUCCUCAACUGACUUCGGUCUCUCGGAAACCUCCCGCGUAUCCAUCACAUACGCCACAAAACCCUUACAGCCCUGCUGUAGACACUGCCUCGCCCUAGCGGCCGAACAAAAAGCUGAUCCUGAACGGGUACCCUCGCCGUACACCGAAAGAACUCCCCCACUAUGGUCUCGUAUGGUCACCAACUGACGCUCACAGUCGAUGACAGCGCCGAAUCGGCUCAACCAGUCCAUGCCCACGAUAACACAGACAUCCCCCAUCGCAAUAGGAAUCAGGUCAAUCGGGAAUCCAACCCCGAAAAUCUCUAGUACACAUCCCCGAAGAACCUCCGUAGCACGAAUCACUUUCUCGUCAGCUAUAGAAACUCUCAAAGGUCGACUCAACGACUCACGACUAACGCCGAUAUGCUGACUAAAGGCUAAGGACACAAAGGACCUACUAGCACCCGAGUCAAAUAACACUAAGGCAGGCACAGAGUUCACAAGGAAAGUACCUACGCAUAUAAUAACAUAAGCAUAACAUCUCGACAUUAAAAUAAAUACAUGAAUUACAACAUACCUGCCACAACAUCGGGCGCAGCGCGGACCUCCUCCGCAGUCAGCUGAAAGGCUCUCCCACGAGCCCUCGGGGCCUCGACCUUCACCGGUCGAGUCUCAGUAGUCCUGGCAACAGGUGCAGAUCCCUGACGAAGCUGAGGGCACUCGGCCUUCCGAUGGCCGGUCUGGUUGCAAUGAAAGCAAACCAUAAAUCCCUUGGGACACUCCCUAGCAAUGUGUCCCUCCUUGCCACACUUGUAGCAAGCACCGGCUCGACACGCCCCAUCGUGACCCUUACCGCACUUUACGCAAGUGCGGUUCUUCGAACCUCCCGUCCUCGAAUCGGCGGACUUGAUCCGCUUGGCUGCCGGCUGAGACUGAGCCGGCCGCCGGUCUGCCUGCUGAGACUCGGCCUCCUCCCUGGCCUGAGUCUCUAACUCGAUCUCACGCUUCCUGGCAUUCGCCUGAAGCUCAGUAAAAGUAUGGUAAGUGGAGUUUGACACAAACUCCCGGAUCUCCCUCCUCAGAACACCCAAGUACCGGCUCAUCCGAGCCUGCUCUGUGGCCACCAGCUCGGGGCAAAACAUCGCCCUCUCAUGGAACUUCCGCGUGAUCGCCGCCACCGAAUCAGUACCCUGCUUGAGGGUUAAGAACUCCUGAACCAAUCGUUCCCGCUCCACCGGGGGAACGUACUCCUCCCUGAACAUGGUAGUGAACCCCUCCCAUGUCACUGCCGCAGUCUCUGCCAAAGUGAAGUUCGCCGUCACGAACUUCCACCAGUCCUUCGCUCCCAGACGGAGCUGGUUCAAAGCGAACCGUACCCUCAGGUGCUCCGGGCAUGAACAAGUGUAGAAGCACCCCUCUAUAUCUGCGAUCCACCUCAUCGCAGCAAUCGGAUCCUGCGUCCCAUCGAACUCUGGUGGCUUCGUGUUGCUGAACUCUCGGAACAGCAAUGAAUCACCCCCCUGUGGCCUAGCAGCGGCCACAGCUGCGGUAGCUGCAGCGGUUGCAGCCUCAGUCAAUGCGGCGUACCGCUCGUCGAACGUCUCCAUCAGGGUGGUCUUGAUAGACCCAAACAUCUCCGGGAUCUCAGCCCGGAUCGCCGCCGCCACCUCCUCGUGGAUCAUCUGACGAAUAUCCUCGUCACUCACACCGCUCGUACUUGCCCCGUGCCGCGGUCUAACCAUGAUAUCUCUGAAAUACAACAUAAAACUAUCAGAGAUUCUACCGAGUAUAAUCGUACUCGACACGCAACCCUACUCAGUCCCAGAUAUCCAGGGAUUCUUACUUGGGCCUCCCACUGACCCGGUGUCCUCGGUAGUACGGGCCCAAUACUACCGACCACACCGCAUCAAUGUUCAUCCCAAGUCCUCCUCCCCAAACUCCGGAUAGUGAGUACUCUACUUCUGAUACGCUCUAUCUACCCGCAUACUAGCAAAGCAUCUCAUAUAGCCAACUUCCCUAGACUAAGGCAUCACAAAUCAGGCCACUCUAGUCCUAUCAUGAAUACCUAGUCUUCUAGCAUGCAUAACAAUUCAUAUCAUAUAAUAUUGUAAGGUAUUUUGGGGAUCUUUACCGUUCGGGCGCUGACUGAUCGUACACACUGCUUCUUUCUUGCUUACCACAAAACCAUUUACAAAAGUUUAUGCCUUUAUUUGAAAAGUUUCCUCAAAUCCUCGGUUUGAGUUCAGUUACCCCCGAAGGUGCACCCGAAUCUCUCAAACCAAGGCUCUGAUACCAAUUGUAACAACUCAAAUUUUUCAAACAAUUUUUUUCAUUUUUAAAAACAUAUUGUUUCCAUUUUAAACAAGGCAUAAAUAGUUUAAGUAUUCUGUCAAAUACAUUUAUUCAAAAUCCCAAGAUCAUAAAGACAAUCUUCAGUGUGUAUCGAUCAUGCCGGCGCCUUCCCACGGUCCUCGCUAGUACCUGAAAUACAUGCACAACAACUGUAAGCAUAAAUGCUUAGUGAGUUCCCCAAUAUACAACUUACGCACAUACGCCUUUCCAGGCCCGACCUUCCGGUCCAUGUGUCUCAGGGGACUUCCGUCCCUGCUGGGUAAACCUUCCGGCCUUACCCACGCCGACCUUCCGGUCCAUCACACAAUCAUAUCGCCUUCCGGCCCAUAACAUAUUGCCUUCCGGCCCAUAAUAUAAUCGCCUUCCGGCCCAUAACAUACAUAGCACAUAUAACAAUUAACUUACCACAUAUAGCAUACAUAUCACAUAUCAUAUCCGACCUUCCGGUCACACAGUCAACCCUUCCGGGUACAGUAUAGUGAGAAGACUCACCUCGUAAAUGCUGAAAGCUAGCAACUCCUGAAAUCACUCGUGCACAAUCCAACGAGCUACAACCCUCCUAUAACAUCACAUAUCUCAUUAGCACUCAUAUCUUCUAAGUGUGACUAUCCCUAAGAAGUCAGACUUAGGUCAACUCUGGUCAACGGUCAACGGUCAACUCGACCGGACUCGGCGAGUACCUUGGCGACUCGGCGAGUCUAGACGUCCUCCAACCUUCUGAGAUUCCUUAUCUACUCGUCGAGUACCCUCCUCGACCCGACGAGUUACUCCUGGAAGAAUCGCGGGGCCACCCCGACUCCACUCGCCGAGUCUGAAGAACAACUCGGCGAGUCCCAGUGAAUCUUCAAGCUACUCGCCGAGUCUGUUCAUCGGACUCGGCGAGUCCACGCCAUGCAGUCGAUCAAACUGCUUCCUGAGAUAGGUCUCGUCCCGAAAUACACAUGCAUGGGACCUUCUGGACCUCUAAAGGUCCUACUACAAGAUUAUAGUCGUUGGGUAACGAGGCACUAAUUCAUUUAAUCACCAAAUGGGUUCUAUAAACCCUAAAUUCAUAAACACAUCAAACAACAGAAGGGAAUCCGAAAUAUUACCUGGAAUAUGUCCUCUCUGUGUCUCAAAACCGCAGAACUCGAAUCCCUUGCUGCUCCUUUAGUCUAAACCCUUCUCUUCCUUGCCCCACAAUUUCCUUCAAGCCCUAAUAUCCUCCAAUCUUGCUCUAGAUGCCCACAGCCGUUUAGGGUUCCUCUCAAUCGACUAAAGACAGACAAUGACGGCCUAUAAGAGUAUUAAAUACGAUCCAAAACUGAACGGUUAGGGUUUCUGCUGAACAGCGUCGACUCGCCGAGUCCAUAUCUGGACUCGUCGAGUCCAGUCGCGGACCCGCGACCAAGUCUGCGAUCCUACUCGGCGAGUCUAGGCUCCAACUCGCCGAGUCCCCUCUCACUCACCCCAAAAACAUAAUUAAAUAAUACCUGAGAUUUCGGG
rnacentral:lncRNA from 1 species